rnacentral:rRNA from 1 species
GAUGAACGCUGGCGGCGUGCCUAAUACAUGCAAGUCGAGCGGGUUAUACGCUGCGGAGGCCUUCGGGCCAAAGUACGUAUAACCUAGCGGCGGACGGGUGAGUAACACGUAGGCAACCUGCCCUUUACAUUGGGAUACCUACGGGAAACUGUAGUUAAUACCAAAUAAGCUUGUAGUGUGGCAUCACACAGCAAGAAAAGAUUUAUCGGUAAAGGAUGGGCCUGCGCCUGAUUAGCUAGUUGGUAAGGUAAAGGCUUACCAAGGCGACGAUCAGUAGCCGACCUGAGAGGGUGAUCGGCCACAUUGGGACUGAGACACGGCCCAAACUCCUACGGGAGGCAGCAGUAGGGAAUAUUGCACAAUGGGCGCAAGCCUGAUGCAGCAACGCCGCGUGAAGGAUGAAGGCUUUCGGGCCGUAAACUUCUUUAGGCCUGGAAAAAUAAAAUGAUGGUACAGGCAGAAUAAGCCCCGGCUAACUACGUGCCAGCAGCCGCGGUAAUACGUAGGGGGCAAGCGUUAUCCGGAAUUACUGGGUGUAAAGGGUGAGUAGGCGGCUUCUUAAGUCAUAAGUGAAAUCGUGAGGCUCAACCUCAUCGAGCUUAAGAAACUGGGAAGCUAGAGUAUGGGAGAGGCAAGUGGAAUUCCUAGUGUAGCGGUGAAAUGCGUAGAUAUUAGGAGGAACACCAGUGGCGAAGGCGACUUGCUGGACCAAGACUGACGCUGAGUCACGAAAGCGUGG